UACGAAGGGGGCUAGCGUUGCUCGGAAUCACUGGGCGUAAAGCGCACGUAGGCGGAUUGUUAAGUCAGGGGUGAAAUCCUGGAGCUCAACUCCAGAACUGCCUUUGAUACUGAGGAGCUUGGAGUCCGGGAGAGGUGAGUGGAACUGCGAGUGUAGAGGUGAAAUUCGUAGAUAUUCGCAAGAACACCAGUGGCGAAGGCGGCUCACUGGCCCGGUACUGACGCUGAGGUGCGAAAGCGUGGGGAGCAAACAGGG
rnacentral:rRNA from 1 species